rnacentral:rRNA from 1 species
AUGAAGCCCAGCUUGCUGGGUGGAUUAGUGGCGAACGGGUGAGUAACACGUGAGCAACCUGCCCCUGACUCUGGGAUAACAGCCGGAAACGGUUGCUAAUACCGGAUAUGCAUCAUGGCCGCAUGGUCUGUGGUGGGAAAGAUUUUUCGGUUGGGGAUGGGCUCGCGGCCUAUCAGCUUGUUGGUGAGGUAGUGGCUCACCAAGGCGUCGACGGGUAGCCGGCCUGAGAGGGUGACCGGCCACACUGGGACUGAGACACGGCCCAGACUCCUACGGGAGGCAGCAGUGGGGAAUAUUGCACAAUGGGCGGAAGCCUGAUGCAGCAACGCCGCGUGAGGGAUGACGGCCUUCGGGUUGUAAACCUCUUUUAGCAGGGAAGAAGCGAAAGUGACGGUACCUGCAGAAAAAGCGCCGGCUAACUACGUGCCAGCAGCCGCGGUAAUACGUAGGGCGCAAGCGUUAUCCGGAAUUAUUGGGCGUAAAGAGCUCGUAGGCGGUUUGUCGCGUCUGCUGUGAAAACCCGAGGCUCAACCUCGGGCCUGCAGUGGGUACGGGCAGACUAGAGUGCGGUAGGGGAGAUUGGAAUUCCUGGUGUAGCGGUGGAAUGCGCAGAUAUCAGGAGGAACACCGAUGGCGAAGGCAGAUCUCUGGGCCGUUACUGACGCUGAGGAGCGAAAGGGUGGGGAGCAAACAGGCUUAGAUACCCUGGUAGUCCACCCCGUAAACGUUGGGAACUAGUUGUGGGGGCCUUUCCACGGUCUCCGUGACGCAGCUAACGCAUUAAGUUCCCCGCCUGGGGAGUACGGCCGCAAGGCUAAA